rnacentral:tRNA from 1 species
AAAGGUUUAGUUUAAAAAAAACAUUAACUUGUCAAGAUAAAAUUAUAUAAAAAUAACCUUUU